rnacentral:rRNA from 1 species
AUACGUAGGGUGCAAGCGUUAAUCGGAAUUACUGGGCGUAAAGCGUGCGCAGGCGGUUUUGGAAGACAGUGGUGAAAUCCCCGGGCUCAACCUGGGAACUGCCAUUGUGACUGCAAGGCUGGAGUGCGGCAGAGGGGGAUGGAAUUCCGCGUGUAGCAGUGAAAUGCGUAGAUAUGCGGAGGAACACCGAUGGCGAAGGCAAUCCCCUGGGCCUGCACUGACGCUCAUGCACGAAAGCGUGGGGAGCAAACAGGAUUAGAUACCCUGGUAGUCCACGCCCUAAACGAUGUCAACUGGUUGUUGGGGAUUUAUUUUCUCAGUAACGAAGCUAACGCGUGAAGUUGACCGCCUGGGGAGUACGGCCGCAAGGUUAAAACUCAAAUGAAUUGGCGGGG